rnacentral:rRNA from 1 species
CACGUAGGGUGCGAGCGUUGUCCGGAAUUAUUGGGCGUAAAGAGCUCGUAGGCGGUGUGUCGCGUCGGCCGUGAAAACCUGCAGCUUAACUGUGGCUUGCGGUCGAUACGGGCAUCACUGGAGUUCGGCAGGGGAGACUGGAAUUCCUGGUGUAGCGGUGAAAUGCGCAGAUAUCAGGAGGAACACCAGCGGCGAAGGCGGCGCUCUGGGCCGGAACUGACGCUGGAGGAGCGAAAGCGUGGGAGCGAACAGG